GAGCAGCGUUAGGGCAACUGAGUCUCCUUCAUUUUUACAACUCUGGUGCCUAGCAAAGAGCUGGGCCAUCAUGGAACAAGAUGGAACAGUCAGCCGAGUCAAGCUCUGCCAGGCUGCCAGGUGAUUCUACUGUGAAGCCAAGCUUAAGAACUACUGAGGAGGUGAAGUGGAGGAACCUGAGAGUCAAGAGACCUGAAUCCUACACUCUACCGCUGAGUCAUUGCACAGCUUGGCAAAUCAGUUUUUCCUCUGGCCUCAUUUUCUCGUCUGUAAACUGGGAGUCCUGAACCAGAAGAUCUCUAAGGACCAUGCCACAUCACAGAGCCGUCUUGAGAUGUCAGCAAGCGUUUCCAGGUCAAUUUCCAGUUUCUCCAGUAUUUUAAGCAAGACAACUUCAUAACCCGCAUUCUAAAGCUGAAGGAAUUAAAUGACUUGCCCUGAGUCCACAGGAGAUGGGCCGGGCACUGGAGGCUGGUGAAGACAUGGUCAUCUCUGCCUGGAGGGAUUUACAGACCUGG